GACGAACGCUGGCGGCGUGCUUAACACAUGCAAGUCGAACGGAAAGGCCCUGCUUGCAGGGUACUCGAGUGGCGAACGGGUGAGUAACACGUGGGUGAUCUGCCCUGCACUUCGGGAUAAGCCUGGGAAACUGGGUCUAAUACCGGAUAGGAGCCAUUUUUAGUGUGAUGGUUGGAAAGUUUUUUCGGUGUAGGUUGAGCUCGCGGCCUAUCAGCUUGUUGGUGGGGUAAUGGCCUACCAAGGCGGCGACGGGUAGCCGGCCUGAGAGGGUGGACGGCCACAUUGGGACUGAGAUACGGCCCAGGCUCCGACGGGAGGCAGCAGUGGGGAAUAUUGCACAAUGGGCGCAAGCCUGAUGCGGCGACGCCGCGUGGGGGAUGACGGCCUUCGGGUUGUAAACUCCUUUCGCUAGGGACGAAGCUUUUUGUGACGGUACCUAGAUAAGAAGCACCGGCUAACUACGUG
rnacentral:rRNA from 1 species